CUUAAAUGAAUUGACGGGGCCGCACAAGCGGUGGAGCAUGUGGUUUAAUUCGAAGCAACGCGAAGAACCUUACCAGGUCUUGACAUCCCUGACAACCCGAGAGAUCGGGCGUUCCCCUUCGGGGGACAGGGUGACAGGUGGUGCAUGGUUGUCGUCAGCUCGUGUCGUGAGAUGUUGGGUUAAGUCCCGCAACGAGCGCAACCCUCGACCUUAGUUGCCAGCAUUCAGUUGGGCACUCUAAGGUGACUGCCGGCUAAAAGUCGGAGGAAGGUGGGGAUGACGUCAAAUCAUCAUGCCCCUUAUGACCUGGGCUACACACGUGCUACAAUGGUUGGUACAACGAGUUGCGAGUCGGUGACGGCGAGCUAAUCUCUUAAAGCCAAUCUCAGUUCGGAUUGUAGGCUGCAACUCGCCUACAUGAAGUCGGAAUCGCUAGUAAUCGCGGAUCAGCACGCCGCGGUGAAUACGUUCCCGGGCCUU
rnacentral:rRNA from 1 species